UACGGAGGGGGCUAGCGUUGUUCGGAAUUACUGGGCGUAAAGCGCACGUAGGCGGAUAUUUAAGUCAGGGGUGAAAUCCCGGGGCUCAACCCCGGAACUGCCUUUGAUACUGGGUAUCUGGAGGUCGAGAGAGGCGAGUGGAAUUCCGAGUGUAGAGGUGAAAUUCGUAGAUAUUCGGAGGAACACCAGUGGCGAAGGCGGGUCUCUGGGCCGAUACUGACGCUGAGGAGCGAAAGCGUGGGGAGCGAACAGG
rnacentral:rRNA from 1 species